rnacentral:tRNA from 1 species
GCCUGGGUGGCUCAGUGGUUGAGCGUCUGCCUUCAGCUCAGGGCGUGAUCCUGGGGUCCUGGGAUCGAGUCCCAUGUCAGGCU